GACAGAGGGUGCAAACGUUGUUCGGAAUUACUGGGCGUAAAGCGCGUGUAGGCGGCUAAGUAAGUCGGGCGUGAAAUCCCACGGCUCAACCGUGGAAGUGCACUCGAAACUGCGUAGCUAGAGUCCUGGAGAGGAAGGUGGAAUGCUUGGUGUAGAGGUGAAAUUCGUAGAUAUCAAGCGGAACACCGGUGGCGAAGGCGGCCUUCUGGACAGUGACUGACGGCUGAGA
rnacentral:rRNA from 1 species